AGGAAGGGGGGGGCAAUUUUCCAUGAGUUUGGAUUAUACAAAUGCCACAAACAGCUUCUGAGGCUGAAGCUAUGACAAUGAACUUCCAUGUCACAAAGAGGAGGAGGAAAAGGAAGGGAACAGUGCAGAGGAGACACAGUGACAUUGUAUUACAGUAGGUAUUUACGUCUGCUAUCCUCAUCCAAGGUAAGAUCAACAACCUCCGCAGGUGAAGCCCAAGUCUGCUGGGGAGUCACAGCAGUCCAUGACUGUGUUUGCCUGGUGCUGACAUACUGCGUGCCCGAACCAUGCUUCCACGAAGAAACACUCUGAAUCACACCUCCUCGAGGAUGAACACACCUGCAAUUGAGACGAAGAAUAGAAGUAUAAGCACGGUUAAUCCCACUGUAGGAAAAAUAUAAGGCAAUAUGGCUUCACUAGCACUGAAUGAUACCUUCACAAAGAUAAGCCUAUAUGAGUCUGUGAAAUGUGAGUCUGUGAAACUUCCAACCAAUAUCCUUCCCUUUUUCCUAUUUGUCUCCCUCCUUGCCUUUUGUCAAGUUUAGUCUAAAAGUGUCAGAAACUCCUGAGUUAUCUCUAGAUCUGUUACUGACAAUGCAUAGGUAACAUGAUGUUUCUCUGAACACAUUUAAACCUCUGGGGUCUUCAGGACAGGGCAGAAUACGAAUCCAGAGCAAAACUGGGAUACCCAAACAAUCUUAAUCUAACCAAACGACAUGGUAAGAAAUGUAAGUACAAGCUGUUUUAAAAUAAGUCCUAUGCCAUACUGGGAAGAAUACCUUCAAAGACAGUAAUAGUAAUACUCUUUUACAGAUUGGAUUUCUAGAAGCCUGUAAGUACUAGGUCAUGCAUAAAGGAUCAAUUUUCCUUAUCCUGAAGGUCACAACAUUACACUUGGCUCAUUCAUCUGAAGUGCUUACGUGCUUUAGUUCAGUGAAAGUAGCAAGGUUGAAGUACUCAGUUAAGGUUCUUUAAAAGUGCUUCAUCAGAGGGACAGAACUGCCUUGGUGAUAAAUCUCACCAAAAGUUCACUGGAAGAAAAAGGUUUCGAAACACUGACAUAAUGAAUUCCACAUUCCAGUCAAAUGAUAAAACUGAGCCUCCAGGAUGAAUCACUGAGUAACUGGAUUCAGAUGAGAGGAAGGCAGGCACUCAAGCUAUCAUUGCUACUUUUGUUCUCACAUCCAUCACAUCCCUAUGUAAUAUAUGUAAGAAGUGACAGCUGGCAGGAUUCUAGUCACAUUAACUACUACAGUGGAUCUUGAACAGCUGUUUAACAACCUGUGUACAAUAAGCGAUGCUGGGUCACUUGAGAAUUCCAGCUUUGAUACACUGCUACCUGCACUGUCAGGUUCAAGAGAACAUUAGGGUAACAAUGGACAAAUUUUAGCUGCAGAACUGCCCUAGGACCCCUAAGCUCCGGGAAAGAGGUCCUGUUCUUACAAAGGUAGCUUGAAAACUACUCCCUUACCGAGUGAGGUGCCGAAAAACAGAUCCCUCAGGGCCAGAGCAGAGCAGGGGGCAGAAGGUAGAUUUGUUACCGUACCAGAGGCCCAUCAUCUGUUGAGAAUGGGCUAAGCAGCUACUAGCCCAGAGGCUACUAUGUUUUCAAAGAUUAGCCAGUGAAAAGCAUUAAAAUAGGAGACAUAAAGUCCAAAGGCUAAUCCAGAUCUGUCCAACGCAUUAAGUACACUCAGAUGGAAGUGAUCAUGUAAUCACGGAAGAAUGUCAGCCAAAGGAGUCCAUUCAAUGUUUACAGAAACAGUUUUGAUGACUGAUGGCACUAGAAUACUGUUUCUUAAGCAGUCUCACCUCAUUGGACAAUCUCAACAGACCUAUGAGGUAGAUGUGGAAGUUACUAUCCAUACUCAAUCGAAAGCAAAACGGAGGGUUAAAGCGGUUACAUGAUUUGCCCAGGGUCACACUGCAUGAAAGUGGUGGGCCAAGGAGCUUCAAGCCAGGUCUGAUGUGGAGUCCAAUGCUUUUCACAACAUCACGCUGUCACUUCACAAAUAUGUAUGUUAAGUUAGGUAAGGCAAAACACAGUGAGAGUCAGCAGAGUGCAAAGAUAGGCCCAGAUUAACGACUUAAAAAUAUAAAGUUCUUCAAUAAUUCAAAAGCUCAUCUGUACAAGUACUAAUUAAAGUAAUCGUAGCUAGAAAUUUAGUAGAAUUCAGAGAAUGAAUGACUACAGAGAGAAUCGAUGUCAUCUUUGGCAGAAUUCCUAGAAAUACUUCUGAAAUAAAAGAGGUAUUUAGUUCCAACUGUUACUCUACACUGCUCCCUAAGUAAUCAUACAAGGGAUUGACUUUAAAACGGAUCUGAGCCAAUCUGCUCAUUUUACAGAAGAGAAAACCAAGGCCAAAAGGCAACUGUCCAGGGUCUGAAGCAAGGUAAGCACAGAACCCAAACAAAACGAGGUCUCCGGCAGGGAGUUUAUUUUCCACUAAGUAACUAUGCCUUCCUCAGACUACAGCUGAAGUACUGUACUGUGUCUGGUUGUAAGGAGCACUGCUUAGCCCCUGGGAGUCAUUACAGCAAAGCAGAUUCUAGAAGGUACUGAUACUAUACAAGAGUGAGAGGUGUAGAGCCACUAUUUACUACUGAGGAAUGAUGGAUAGAGGGAGAAUAAGGAGAUGAGGCACUUCAACUAUCUAAAUUGGAUCACUUCUGUAGUUAUGUUACAAAUGAUUCCAGUUACUGGAAACUACUUUAAGUACUGGACUACUUUAAGUAAAAAACAGAAUUUGUUGGAAAGACACUUGAGGACCUCAAAGAACCUAAGAAUGAUGGGAUAACUAGGCCUCAUUCACUGGACUCAAGCCCCAACCUCUCAAUCUGUUUCUCUUAUUUCAAAAUUUUAGAUUCUCUGGAGAAUGUGAUGAUUCCAUCUUUAGUCAAAAGUUCUCCUGGCUCCUAUUUAACUGUAACUAGAAGGUCAAUUCCCAAAGAAGGGAGAAUCGCCAUGGAAGAAGGUGGCUACUCCAUCUUGUACAGAGAUCUCAAGAGCAGACUAACAACCAUCAAUCAGUUUACAGAGGGAAGCUUUAGGUGAUCACGACUAUGCAACAAUUACAACUACUAUCAAAUGGAAUCAACUUCCUUUUACGCUUUCAAGCAAGUGCUGGGACAUCUAUCAGGAAUACGAAAGUAUUCUAAGAAGACUUCUAAGGUUAUCAUUGAGUUUAAAAUUUUUAAGAAUACAGGCAAAACUCUCCUUUUAGAAGUCACGGGGUGCAGUGGUGGGAAGGCUCUGACAAGAAGGUGGUGCAAGAGGGACUUCUGUUUUUUGUUUUUGUUGUGUUGUUUUGUUUUGAGAGAGAGCAAGCAAGCCAGACAGCAAGCACAAGUGGGGAAGUGGGGUAGGAGGGGCAGAAAGAGGGAGACAGAUGAUCCCAAGCAGGCUCUGCCCUGAGCACAGAGCCCCAUGCGGGACUUGAACUCACGAACCGUGAGAUCAUGACCUGAGCAGAAAUCAAGAGUUAGAUGCUUCAGUCAGUUAGCUUCAGUCAGUUAGCUGCUUCAGUCAGUUGACUGAAACACCUACGUACCCCGAGACUUCUGUUUCUUGAUCAGAGUGCUAGUUACCGGAGUAUGGGCAGUUUGUAAAAACUAAAGUGUACAUUUAUGACUUUUCUAAGUGUGUUAAAGUCAAUAAAACACUCAAAAAAUUUUUUAUGAUUUAAUGACCUCAAUCAUCUUAAAUAAAAUGGUAGCUAAGAGAUGGAGGAGGCCAGAACAAGGCUUUUAACACAUUCCCUUUUUAAAUACACAGCAAAAGGACUCAUGCUGGUAAACAAAGAGUGCUGGAGAAACAUUUCAACUAUUUUAUAAGACAGUGUACAUUAUAGAUCAACUUAUACCAGAUAGGGAAAGGUUUCAGGAGGAAAAGGGACCAGAACAAUUGUUAUAAGCCCUACAGAGAUGCCCUAUAAAAACAGAAGUGAGAGACUCAAAAUUUUGUUAAUCUAUGCACAUAAAAUAUACAGUUUCAGGUAUUAACACAUACCCUUUCCCUGUAUGAUGAAAGACACGGAGUGGGAACAUACUCAGCUGUUUUUAAGUUUGUUUGUUUAUUUUGAGAGACAGUGAGCGAACAAGCAGGAGAGGGGCAGAGAGAAGGGGAGGGAGAGAGAAACCCAAGCAAGAUCCAUGCUAUCAGUGCAGAGCCCAAUGCAGAGCUCAACCCCAUGAACUGUGAGAUCAUGACCCAGGCAGAAAUAAAAAGUUGAAUGCUUAACCCACUGAGCCACGCAGGAGUCCCAUACUCAGCUGUUUUUUUAAUUCAUCCAAACUAAUUCUAGUGUAGAUACAGGCUUUGUUUUCACAAAGCAUUUAAUCUGCAUAUGAUUGACAAUAGGUACAAAACAUAAUCUAGAGUCAUAUUUUGAGUCCUAUAUUCAAGAAAAUGCUUAGGACUCACUUCCCCCCAAAAAACCUACUUUAUAAACAGUAAGUUUUGAUAGAAUAAUUUCCUGCUCUUCAUAUACUGAAACCAAUAAAGGAGAGACUUCACAGUGGAAAAGAAAAAACAGAGAAAGAGGGCAGGCUCUCAUGGUCAGCUUUAAUACAGUUCAUUUACUAUCCUACGAAAACAACAUUAAAUAUUAAUCAUUUUUGCUCUCAUUUACAGAGCCUGAACGUGACCUCUUAGAUAACAUUCCUACUUAUUUUUCCUAGCUAAAGAUGAAGUGAAUCUUCAUGGCUUCAGAGAAAUGCCUGUCUGCCUCCCCUGCUUUUUUAGGGUUAAUGUUUACAAUUAGUUCUAGGAAGCAAUCCGUCUUAAAUGCAGAACGCUUCUAGCAUCAACUCUUCUGUUGUGGGAUGAACCAACAUUAAGACAAAUGAACACAGGACCAAAGACUACAGUGAGUGAGGUUAGGAUCUGAUUAUUCCCAAAAGCCUCAGAGGACAGGUAUCAAAGAAACUGUUCUAACAGUUCCAUAACAGAAAGAUCUGUGCUAUAUCCAUUUAUCUUCCUAGGGCAAUUACCAAUGAAGCUGGUAGAAGAAAAGGAAAAAGGAAAAAGAAAAGUAUCGGCAUGAGGGCCACAAAUUAAAAGUUCUGGCAAAAUUAUGUGGGCACAGAGGAGCUAGAGGUGCUGUAAAAGUCUCUAUAAUUUGCAAAGAACAUCUUGUGAAACUGGACUGUCCAAAAAUUAACUCCUAGAAAUGAUAACAUUUAGGUAACACAGCGAGUUAAUUACAACAAUACAAGGCAGCCAUAAAAGAUGCAUUCAAACCAUUAGUUCAGAAGGCAUGCUUUCUAGUCUAUGAUUACAAGAAACACAGAAGCUAAAGGAACAUAUCAAAUCUAAAUUAAAAGAACAGGUAAAGAUAUUAACAUGCAAGAAAAGAAAAACUUAAAAAAAAAAAAAAGACACACUGUAACUAAAAUUACUGAGUGCAAUGUCAAACAAAAUUCUUCCAAUAAGGAAAAACGGCAAUGCAAUGCAAAUCAGAGCAUUCCCAAAGAGAAAAGCUCAAGAACCAAUUCUGAGUUUUUGAAAACUCUCAGCCCACAACAAGGUAGAAUACCAAAAAGAAAAAAUAAGAACAGGACAACUAAAUCCAAACAAAACAUCUAUGCAUGCAAAUCAAAUUAGAACAAAAAGAUGUGGAUCAAAACCUAAAACCUUUUUCCAAGCGAUAACCCUGCCAGAAGCCCAUCAAUACUUCAUAACUGCAACCCUAGACCUGUAAAAGAAAUAAAUUCCAGAUGAGAUACAGGCAGCCAAGAGUAACUCUGAAGCAACCAACAAGAAAACUUCUCCCCCCACCUGCUCCUCAGCUUUUAAUCUCAAUUACUUGGAAGAUUACCAUGCUUCCUCUAAAGAAAGUGCUAGAAAAUGUUCAGAAAGACACAAAAGAGCCAGUAAGACUCUAUUCAGUCCUCAACCCGAAGACCAAAAUAAAAGACCCUCUCAGAAUGACACAAGCAUCAGCUCAAAGUACUCUAACGAAACUUCUCAACGCCAACAUUCUAUUGUAUGGGCAGCAUUAACCACCACUGAGAUUUCAUAAUACAUUUGUCACCUCUAAGACUGUAUUCCACAGGAUUCAAACCAAAGUAUCAGAAUACAUCUUUAUGCUUCAGAGCCUGUGAGGAAAAAGUCCUUGAAAGUAAUGUUAUGUACUGUAUGUUAUUUAAAAUGUAGUCAGCCACUUGACUUAGUUCAAGAGUGGAACAAACAUAUCUAUAGAGUAAAAUGACAAUCUGGAUAAAAGACCUAAUAAGUAUGGAGAAGGGUGUACUAGACAAAGUGUGUGUGUGUGUGUGUGUGUGUGUGUGUGUGUGUGUUGGGAGUGGGUAGGAACUUAAAAUUUAAAUUUCUGAGUUUUAAGAGAAAUAUAAUGAUAAUUUUAACUCCGGAUACCAAAAAUAUUGGUAGAAAAAAAGAAGCUAAGGAGUUCAUGAUGGAAGAAAAGUUGAACAAAGAAGCCAAGAAGAAGGGUGGCUCACUCUGUAACAUUUGUAGGCACAAGUAAACAGUAAAGAAGGGAGACUUGAUAUAAGUUAAUAGAGAACUGAACCAAGUAACAUGUUUCGAGAGAGAAAGAGAUUAAGUAAUAAGCAACACAGGUUAUUACCCACUCUUUGCUACUUCAGUAGGAACACAUGACUAACAGUGAAUUAAAAUUUGAAAUGUAACUCAAGACAAAAUUGGUGAAUGGAUAAUGUGCAAACUGAAGAUAAUUUACCUGUAUCAAUCUGUUAAUAGGCAAGGUAAGGUUUACAGUAGGGAAUAAAAGGAUACUCAUGUCUUCUUUAUUGCAAGGGACAAUGGUGAAAUAAAUAAUGGCAAACACAUGCUAAAGUAAAGGAAAAAACCUUUCAUCUAAAGAGGUAAGUCAACAUGAAAGGAACAGAUUAAAAAAAAGAGAGAACAGGAAAAAGUACUUGAUUAAGGCAGAAAAAAAAAAAAAGGAAAAAGAAUGAGAUUAAGGAAAGACAGAAGAACGAAAAUUCUUUCCCACCAGAAAAGGGGAAAUAAUCAUUAAACACAGGAAAGAAAAAAGGAAGCAGCUAUGCAGGAAUACUUCUGGCAUAAACACAGGACAGAAGAUGGAAGUGGUUAGGUCUGAUAAAGUGAACUGGCCGCUUUUGGGGAGAAGACAUGUUAAACUAUGACAUAAUUCUACAACCUUAAAGUCCCAACAGGUAUGACCUGAAAAAUGCUCUCAGAAAGGAGAAUCAGUUCUAAGACAAAGGUACCUUCGAUUUAUACGCAUGUGUAUUUUGCCUGCGCUCUCCCCUGCUAAGUUCACUUUCUACAUAAACAACAGAAGAAAUGCUGGUGAAUGUUUUCCUUUCUAACCAAAGAGUAAAACCAGAUCUAAGAGCCAGGUAAUGUAGAUAUUGUGUAGAUAUAUGUAUCUACUUGGGGAAAUCAGGAAAGAAAUCACAACUUAACUCUUGCAGCAUAGAAGAAAAGUUGUUUGCUAUAUAGAACACAGAUUUUCUGGAGUCUAAAUUUUUGUUUUCUAUAUAAAUGUGUGUGUGUGUGUGUGUGUGUGUGUGUGUGUGUGUGUUAAAUGUUCCUCAGGAAUACCUCUGAGAGGACUAUAACCAAUUCUUAGGAACACUAUCUAAAGCAAGAAUCAGCAAAUGUUUUUCUACAUGGGGCUAGACAGUUAAUUACCUUAGGCUUUGAGGGCUAUCAGGUGUCUGUUGAAACUUCUUCUCAACUCUGCCACUGGAAUGCAACAGCAGCCACAAACAAUACGUAAAUGAACAAGCAUGGCUCCAUCCCAAUAAAAUUUUAUUUAUGGAUAAAUAUACUGUAUUUACGUGAAUUUCAUAAAACUUCCACAAGUCAUAAAACAUCAUUCUUCUUUUGAUCCCGUCCCCCCUCAACCAUUUCACAAUGUAAACUAGGGGUGCCUGGGUGGCUCAGUGGGUUAAGCAUCUGACUCCAGCUCAGGUCAUGAUCUUGCAGUUCAUGAGUUUGAGCCCUGCCUUCAGGCUCUGUGCUGGCAGCUCAGAGCCUGGAGCCUGCUUCGGAUUCUGUGUCUCCCUCUCUCUGCCCCUCCCCUGCUCACACUCUGUCUCUCUCUCAAAAUAUUAAAUACUAAAAAAAAAAAAAAAAUUUUUUUUUUUUUAAUUAAAAAGUAAACUAGUCUUAGCACAAGGUCCAUAUAAAAACAGGCAGCAGACCAGUGGGCUAUAGUUUGCUCACCCUUAUCUUAAAGAAUGACAAACUUCAAAAGUUAUUUUCAGAACUCUAGACAAAUUUGAUGUCUUGUGGCUUUUAAUCCUAAAAAUAGGACUGCCUGAGUCACAUGAACAUCACUAGAAAUAUACUAUGUUAGGAAUAGGCCAAAGUAACUCGCAGGUUUUAAUGAACGACAAGAAGAGGUGCUUUAGGAAACAAGCAAUACAGGUAUGAUGUCAGAUGUAUAUUUCCCAAUUGUUUGCUCCCAACACAUUUCAAGAUAAAGUGAAAGGCAAGAAAAUAUGAAUGACAGGGGGAAAGGUAGGAUGACACUAUGCCAUAAGAGAAAAAUCUGUCAAGGUAUCUAGACAUUUGCUAAAAAUAUGAGGAAAACAUCAGUUCUGUUUCACAUGCAUGUAUGGUUGAGAUGUUCUUGAUAGAAGAUGCAACACAUUCUCAAGCUCAUUAUCAUGUCUAAUCAAAAAGCAUUUUCUAAGCCACAGGAAGCUACGAGAUAGCUCCCACCAUUCAUGCCAGCCAUGCCAUGAGGACUACCACUUUCUUCUCACUUUAUGGUUAAAAUCAAAUUCACAUUUAAAAUAUCAGAAUGCUCCACUGAAUGUCCUACCUUGCAUGUUCCUGAACUCCCACAAUCUCCACUUCACUAUCUGAAGAGGCAAUAUUAAUUUCUUCAUUGAGUGGUACAUUGCCAGCCGAUGUCUUGUCACUUGCUAGGAAUCCUGGAUCCAAAUGACCUGAGAGAGAAGAGGGGUAAAAUAAGCACUACAGUCUGACUUCUUACAAGCAGCAUGAAACACUCAUUGACAGAUUUCCCAUCCAGGUUAAUCACAGAAACAGAAUUGCCACAUGAGAGCUUGGCAGAGUGAAACUGUCAAGUCUCUCAUUCUCUAUUCAUUAGGAGGAAAAAAAACUAAGUACUUUAGUAAAUAGGUAUAUAUAAACUAUGAUAAUAAUCUAUUAUAUUUUAUUCCGUAAUGCUUUUUGCAUUCAACUCUAGUCUCCUUUUAAAUGACCUGUAUAACAGGUUUGUCACCACCUAGAGGGCAAUAAGGUUCUCUACUGCUUACUGGUAAAUUUUAUUAUUUAUUUAUUUACUUACUUACUUAUUUACUUACUUAUUUAUUUAUUUUUAAGUAGGCUCCACAACCAUUGUGGGGCUUGAACUCAUGACCCUGAUAUCAGGAAUCACAACUCUUCUGACUGAGCCAACCAGGCACCACCACCACCACCACCACCCUCCCCACCCCAGGGUAAAUUUUAACAGAACAAAAUUCUAAAGCAGAAAAGCUCAAAGGCAUAAAUAGAAUAAAUAACAGAGGUACUCAUUAAUAUCAUAUUUACACUGGAAUGCUUUAUGAAAGUUUUAACAAACUUCUUUUAAACAACUUUAACAGUUUUUCUCAAAAGGAAUGUAGAAUUGACAAAAUCUGACCCAAAACCACAUCUAAAAGAAAAGGCUAGAGGCAGAUCACAAUUUUUGUUCUGAGCAACUAAAACAUAACCUGUACAUUGCUGACAGCUCUUAUUAGAAAGAAACCACAUAUUCUGAAAAAGCAUGACAAUUUGUGGCAGUGGGACAUAUAAGAACUUUUCCACAAGGGGCUUCACAAAGCAUCUAUUACACGGUAGAAUAUAACAUUCUCCCAACUCACAGAAAACAUGAGCUUCACAGAACUCUCUCUCAACAAAGGCUAAGAGCAUAACAUCAAAGUACACAGCCAUAUAAACAAUUCUAACAAGAGUUAAAAUAGUUCAGCUUAUGUAUCCAGCUCUUAAAUGUUCUGACCUUUAUGAAAUAGAAUAUCUAGGAGUCAACAUGAAAUAAACCAAGUUGCAACAGGCACAAAUUUUCAAUUACUCUUUAAAGGGUGUUUUUAUUUAAAUAUAUUAUCAUCUGAUACAAUACUGUUCCUCCAUAUUUAAAAAAAAAAAUCCUUGGUGACACUUCAUAUAAACGAAGCACGUAUCAGUAAGAUUUUACACACACAACUCUCCCUUCUUCCUCCAUCACCUUCACAUCAUUCAUACCAAUGUUUCAAGGUCACUGAGAAACCUUGUACUUCCAUACUCCUGCGAACUUUUAGUAUAACUCUCUUGGAAAAUGAUACACAGUCACAAAGCAAAAGUCUUACAAUUUCUAUACCCUCUGACCUUGUAAUCCCAUCUCUGAGAAUUUAAUUUAGUCCAAGGGAAAAAACUUUAAAUAAGCAAAAUGUUAUGAGGUCCAAAGAUAGUGACUACAGUCUAUGUAGAAACUUGGGGAAACAUAUGCAUAACACAGAAAGUGUCACGUACAACACUUUAAAAAUAUUUUGGUGCUGGGUGAAAGUUGUAAAAAGCAAUCAAGCUUGACUUGGACUGUGGGUCUUUUUUAUAAUUCUUUAAUAUUACUUUUACUUUUUUCUUCAACUGAACAUGACACUGAUGAGAAAAAAGACUAAAAAGCUUAAAAUGGCUUCCAGAUACAACAGGUAAUUGAGAUUAUAUUACAGUUUGCAAGGGCUUGUUAAACUUUCUGUAUUAACGAAUAGCCUAAAUAGGAUUCUACACACUGGCAGUGGGUAAAUAUCUUUGAAGGUCACAAGCAAAUGAAAGGUGGCAUUCACCAGAUAAAGCCCAGUUUUGUUAAAAUCUGGAUUGGUUGCUUAAAUGAAGUAUGGUUAAAUCUUGAUUUGGUAAACUCAGAUUCUUGCUCUGAUGCCAGUACCUUGUUUGUGGCCAAGUCUUUUGUCUAAUUUCUAGUUCAAUGUUGAAGUUAGAACUAUCAUCAUAUACACUAUUCCUACUACACUUCUAGGAAAGAAUACAAAUUGAUAGUCUCUUUUUUCAAACCUUCAACUUGUCCAUAUUCAAUCUUUUCAGCAGCCUUGCUUUGUGCAACUAUAACAAUUUGCUUCUUCUAUUUGUUCCUACAAUAAAUACUUAUUUAUGACAUGCUAUGCACUAGGUGCUAAGAAUACUAUAGAGAUCAAAGACAGGAGGUGCAGUGCCUAUGCUCAACUCAACGAGCUCACGAUAUACUUGGGGAUUCGAAAAAGCAGUACCUUAUACUAUGGCUUGAAAAUUGCUGGGGGGUCUGGGGGGCUCAGUUGGUUCAAUGUCCAACUCUUGAUUUCAGCUCAGGUCAUGAUCCCAGGGGUCGUGGGAUCGAACCCCACUUUAGACUCUGCACCGAGCAUGGAGCCUGAGAUUCUCUCCCUCUGCAGCUUGUUCUCUCUCUCUCUCUCUCUCUCUCUCUCUCUCUCUCUCAAAGUAAAAGGGGAUGGCUCAGUCUGUUAAGUGUCCAUCUCUUGAUUUUGGCUCAGGUCAUAAUCUCACAGUUUGUGAGUUUGCACCCCGCAUCGGGCUCCAUGCUGACAGUGCACAGCCUGCUUAGGAUUCUCUCUCUCCCUCUCUCUCUGCCUCUCCCCUGCUCACUUUCACUCUCAAAAUAAAUAAACUUUUUAAAAAAGUUUAAAAAAGAAAAAGAAAAAAAAAGAAAAUUGCUCAGUCAGAGAGCAAUUUAAAGAUAUGGAAAAGGGAGGGAGUACCUGCGUGGCUCAGUCAAUUAAGGGUCUGACUCUUGAUUUCAGCUCAGGUCAUGAUCUCAUGGUUCAUGGGUUUGAGUCCAGCAUUAGGCUCUGCACUAACAGUGUGAAGCCUUCUUGGGAUUCUCUUUCCCUCUCUCUCUGCCCUGCCCCCACUCACCCUCCCUCCCUCUCUCAAACAAACAUUUUCAAUGCUUUUUUUUUUUUUAAUGUUUAUUUAUUUUUGACACGGAGAGAGACAGAGCAUGAACGGGGGGAGGAGCAGAGAGAGAGAGGGAGACACAGAAUCCCAAACAGGCUCCAGGCUCUGAGCUGUCAGCACAGAGCCCGAUGCGGGGCUCGAACCCACGGACCGUGAGAUUGUGACCUGAGCCGAAGUCGGACACUUAACCAACUGAGCCACCCAGGCACCCCUAAACAAACAUUUUCAAAAAAAUAAAAAAGACAUAGAAAAGGGAAAUUUCCCAGACUUAAGAAUAAUCAAAGACACAGACAGAGCUCUCAGGAAACAGUAGGCACAGAUGAGAGGAAGUAGCAAUACGGAACACUGUGUUGCCCUUUAGGGUAUAAAAGUUCAGUGAGAUGUGGGGUAAUAAUAUAGUAAAAGCAGUAAUGGGAAACAAGGCUGGCAAAGUCAACAGAGUUCAGAUCAUAGUAAGAAGUCUGGAACUUGACCUUGAGAAGUAGGAAACCACUGAGGAAUUUAAGCACUGACAUGAUCUGAUUUUCCAUUUUUAAAAAUUGCUUUUUGGCGUGUAGAAAUGGAACUAAUAUCAAAGCAGGGAAUAUUAGAGGCAAGAAAACCAGUUAGACUGCUAUCCUGGAUGAGAAAGGACUAUGGCUGAACUAGAAAAGAAACAAAAUGGGGAACAGUCUGUGUGCGUGUAUACACAGACAGUUAGUAAUGGUGGGCAAUUCAAAGUAAAAAAUGAUGGCUAGGUUUCUGAUUUAGGUAACCAGAUAGAGUAACAGUGCCCUUUGGUGCACCAAUGAACAGCUGAGGAUGGUUGCUUAGGACGUGAUAAGGACAUGCUUCUGAGAUGUCCACGGGGCAGCUGGAGGUACUGUUCUAAAAACUCAUGUCAGAGCUCGAGGGAGAAAUAAAGAGUCCUCAGCAACAGCUGGGAAGGUAAAAGUUAACAAGAGGAACAAAGAGGGCCUAGAGCAGAAUGCUGACGAACACCAAUAAUUAAGGGUGGGCACAUGAAGGGGAGCUCACCAGGUUAAGUGAGAGGUAGUAAGAAAACCUUAAGAUGUGAAGCCAGGACACCAUGGAAUGAUCAUUUCUAGGAAGAAGUGCUUAUCAAUGCCCAACAGAGAGGUUCAGUGAGAAGAGGGACUAAGUAGAGUCCACUAGAAUCAGUAGUGAGAUGACUACACAUAUACCUUGGCAAGAAGAGCCUCAGGAGCGAUAGGUAUAAAGCCAAUGUGGCAAGGCAAGCUGAAUGAUAAUGCAAAGUCAGGAAGAGCAGACACAUUUAAACAGUUAUGCUAUGAAAGAAAAGGCAACAGGAUAGUACUGAGAAAGAAAAAAAUGCGUUUGAGGGAGGGGAAUGCAUGUGUAUGAAUAAUCUUAAAAGAUGGGAGAGACCUGGCCAAAUUUGGGGGGGAAAGGCAGAGAACAAACAGAUGUGAUGGCAGAAGGCUGAGGCAAUCUGCAUCUGUGAAGAAUGCGGGAAGGCCAUGUGCAGAGCACAGGUAUGGGUAGGGUAGCAGGGUGGGGUUCAGAAAAGUGAAGGAACACUAUGAAGAAAGAACACUGCCUAAGGAAAGACAGGAUCUGCUGGGCAGCACUGAGAGCAGGCUGCAGAUUAGGAAGUUAAACUCAACCCUCAGCUCUGCAGCUAUGUGAUUUUCUUCCAGCUACGUUAAGCAGCGUGACACAGGCUCCAAGUGUGCGUACAGGGAUCUGACUUUGCCAGCUGGGUACACCAGGAAAGCUGGGGAGCUGGCGAAGGAGAGGUGAGCUUAAACAUGCUAGAGUGGGUAAGAAGUGAAGCCAGCAGGGGGCUGGCAAAGGACCGGGUGGCAGGUCAGUGAGGCAGAAGAGCAGUGCAAAGGAAGUAACAGCAUGAGAGGACAGAAGAGGCCCCCGUGGAAAAGGAGAAAGCAAGAUCAAGAAUAGGAGGAAAACCAGUGGUUAGGGGAAGUAAACACCGUAAUUCAACCCUCUUGGCUACCCACAAACACAAGCCUCUGGGACCCAUCCAUUGCUCUCCAGUCUGGUCCUCUACUCGGCUGCUACUCUCCCUUGCUCCAUCCAGCCACCCACUACUUACCUUCCUACAACCUUUCCACUGCCCUCUGGAAUGUCAGCUCCAUGGAAAACUGCACUGAGCUUUUCCUUUCACCUCCCCUGUGGAAACUGAACUCCUGAAAAUGCCACCUAGCCUGACUGCUGCUAGGUAGCUGCUCCUACACCUGACUUUCAGGACCAGAAUCACUGACAAAUCCUGUUGUCCAUCCUCAUGUACCAACACCAGCAGCCCCUAUCUCCCAGGGCACUUCCCUUGACUGCCAAAUACCAACUCCAGGACGGUUUCACUCAUCCAUGAAACAUUACUGGCACCUCACUUAGUCUCUAUUUUAUGUCCCGCUAUCAUGAUUCCUUAUUCUUAUAUGAGUGCUCAUUAUUUAUGUGGACAACCACUCCAAAAUUCUCCAUGCCUACUCUCUAAGCAGCUGAGCCCCAAGAGGCACUUAAAACUCCCUGUAGGGGCGCCUGGGUGGCUUGGUCGGUUAAGCGUCCGACUUCGGCUCAGGUCAUGAUCUCACGGUCCGUGGGUUCGAGCCCCGCGUCGGGCUCUGUGCUGACAGCUCAGAGCCUGNAAGGCAAGCUGAAUGAUAAUGCAAAGUCAGGAAGAGCAGACACAUUUAAACAGUUAUGCUAUGAAAGAAAAGGCAACAGGAUAGUACUGAGAAAGAAAAAAAUGCGUUUGAGGGAGGGGAAUGCAUGUGUAUGAAUAAUCUUAAAAGAUGGGAGAGACCUGGCCAAAUUUGGGGGGGAAAGGCAGAGAACAAACAGAUGUGAUGGCAGAAGGCUGAGGCAAUCUGCAUCUGUGAAGAAUGCGGGAAGGCCAUGUGCAGAGCACAGGUAUGGGUAGGGUAGCAGGGUGGGGUUCAGAAAAGUGAAGGAACACUAUGAAGAAAGAACACUGCCUAAGGAAAGACAGGAUCUGCUGGGCAGCACUGAGAGCAGGCUGCAGAUUAGGAAGUUAAACUCAACCCUCAGCUCUGCAGCUAUGUGAUUUUCUUCCAGCUACGUUAAGCAGCGUGACACAGGCUCCAAGUGUGCGUACAGGGAUCUGACUUUGCCAGCUGGGUACACCAGGAAAGCUGGGGAGCUGGCGAAGGAGAGGUGAGCUUAAACAUGCUAGAGUGGGUAAGAAGUGAAGCCAGCAGGGGGCUGGCAAAGGACCGGGUGGCAGGUCAGUGAGGCAGAAGAGCAGUGCAAAGGAAGUAACAGCAUGAGAGGACAGAAGAGGCCCCCGUGGAAAAGGAGAAAGCAAGAUCAAGAAUAGGAGGAAAACCAGUGGUUAGGGGAAGUAAACACCGUAAUUCAACCCUCUUGGCUACCCACAAACACAAGCCUCUGGGACCCAUCCAUUGCUCUCCAGUCUGGUCCUCUACUCGGCUGCUACUCUCCCUUGCUCCAUCCAGCCACCCACUACUUACCUUCCUACAACCUUUCCACUGCCCUCUGGAAUGUCAGCUCCAUGGAAAACUGCACUGAGCUUUUCCUUUCACCUCCCCUGUGGAAACUGAACUCCUGAAAAUGCCACCUAGCCUGACUGCUGCUAGGUAGCUGCUCCUACACCUGACUUUCAGGACCAGAAUCACUGACAAAUCCUGUUGUCCAUCCUCAUGUACCAACACCAGCAGCCCCUAUCUCCCAGGGCACUUCCCUUGACUGCCAAAUACCAACUCCAGGACGGUUUCACUCAUCCAUGAAACAUUACUGGCACCUCACUUAGUCUCUAUUUUAUGUCCCGCUAUCAUGAUUCCUUAUUCUUAUAUGAGUGCUCAUUAUUUAUGUGGACAACCACUCCAAAAUUCUCCAUGCCUACUCUCUAAGCAGCUGAGCCCCAAGAGGCACUUAAAACUCCCUGUAGGGGCGCCUGGGUGGCUUGGUCGGUUAAGCGUCCGACUUCGGCUCAGGUCAUGAUCUCACGGUCCGUGGGUUCGAGCCCCGCGUCGGGCUCUGUGCUGACAGCUCAGAGCCUGGAGCCUGUUUCAGAUUCUGUAUCUCCCUCUCUCUCUGCUCCUCCCCUGUUCAUGCACUGUCUCUCUCUGCCUCAAAAAAAAAUAAAUAAAUGUUAAAAAAAAUUUUUUUUUUAAAAUAAAACUCCCUGUAGUAGGGGCACCUGGGUGGCUCAGUUGGAUAAGCGUCCAACUUCGGCUCAGGCCAUGAUCUUGCAGUUUGUGGGUUUGAGCCCUGCAUUAGGCUCUGUGCUGACAGCUCAGAGCCUGGAUCCUGCUUGGGAUUCUGCAUCUCUCUCUCUCUCUCUCUGCCCCUCUCCCGCUUGUACUCUGUCUCUCUCUCUCAAAAAUAAACAAACUUUAAAAAAACACACAAAACAAACCUCCCUGUGGUAGACUCACAGCAAAGGGCUCAGCCCUUACCAUCCCCAAANAACAAAGAGGGCCUAGAGCAGAAUGCUGACGAACACCAAUAAUUAAGGGUGGGCACAUGAAGGGGAGCUCACCAGGUUAAGUGAGAGGUAGUAAGAAAACCUUAAGAUGUGAAGCCAGGACACCAUGGAAUGAUCAUUUCUAGGAAGAAGUGCUUAUCAAUGCCCAACAGAGAGGUUCAGUGAGAAGAGGGACUAAGUAGAGUCCACUAGAAUCAGUAGUGAGAUGACUACACAUAUACCUUGGCAAGAAGAGCCUCAGGAGCGAUAGGUAUAAAGCCAAUGUGGCAAGGCAAGCUGAAUGAUAAUGCAAAGUCAGGAAGAGCAGACACAUUUAAACAGUUAUGCUAUGAAAGAAAAGGCAACAGGAUAGUACUGAGAAAGAAAAAAAUGCGUUUGAGGGAGGGGAAUGCAUGUGUAUGAAUAAUCUUAAAAGAUGGGAGAGACCUGGCCAAAUUUGGGGGGGAAAGGCAGAGAACAAACAGAUGUGAUGGCAGAAGGCUGAGGCAAUCUGCAUCUGUGAAGAAUGCGGGAAGGCCAUGUGCAGAGCACAGGUAUGGGUAGGGUAGCAGGGUGGGGUUCAGAAAAGUGAAGGAACACUAUGAAGAAAGAACACUGCCUAAGGAAAGACAGGAUCUGCUGGGCAGCACUGAGAGCAGGCUGCAGAUUAGGAAGUUAAACUCAACCCUCAGCUCUGCAGCUAUGUGAUUUUCUUCCAGCUACGUUAAGCAGCGUGACACAGGCUCCAAGUGUGCGUACAGGGAUCUGACUUUGCCAGCUGGGUACACCAGGAAAGCUGGGGAGCUGGCGAAGGAGAGGUGAGCUUAAACAUGCUAGAGUGGGUAAGAAGUGAAGCCAGCAGGGGGCUGGCAAAGGACCGGGUGGCAGGUCAGUGAGGCAGAAGAGCAGUGCAAAGGAAGUAACAGCAUGAGAGGACAGAAGAGGCCCCCGUGGAAAAGGAGAAAGCAAGAUCAAGAAUAGGAGGAAAACCAGUGGUUAGGGGAAGUAAACACCGUAAUUCAACCCUCUUGGCUACCCACAAACACAAGCCUCUGGGACCCAUCCAUUGCUCUCCAGUCUGGUCCUCUACUCGGCUGCUACUCUCCCUUGCUCCAUCCAGCCACCCACUACUUACCUUCCUACAACCUUUCCACUGCCCUCUGGAAUGUCAGCUCCAUGGAAAACUGCACUGAGCUUUUCCUUUCACCUCCCCUGUGGAAACUGAACUCCUGAAAAUGCCACCUAGCCUGACUGCUGCUAGGUAGCUGCUCCUACACCUGACUUUCAGGACCAGAAUCACUGACAAAUCCUGUUGUCCAUCCUCAUGUACCAACACCAGCAGCCCCUAUCUCCCAGGGCACUUCCCUUGACUGCCAAAUACCAACUCCAGGACGGUUUCACUCAUCCAUGAAACAUUACUGGCACCUCACUUAGUCUCUAUUUUAUGUCCCGCUAUCAUGAUUCCUUAUUCUUAUAUGAGUGCUCAUUAUUUAUGUGGACAACCACUCCAAAAUUCUCCAUGCCUACUCUCUAAGCAGCUGAGCCCCAAGAGGCACUUAAAACUCCCUGUAGGGGCGCCUGGGUGGCUUGGUCGGUUAAGCGUCCGACUUCGGCUCAGGUCAUGAUCUCACGGUCCGUGGGUUCGAGCCCCGCGUCGGGCUCUGUGCUGACAGCUCAGAGCCUGGAGCCUGUUUCAGAUUCUGUAUCUCCCUCUCUCUCUGCUCCUCCCCUGUUCAUGCACUGUCUCUCUCUGCCUCAAAAAAAAAUAAAUAAAUGUUAAAAAAAAUUUUUUUUUUAAAAUAAAACUCCCUGUAGUAGGGGCACCUGGGUGGCUCAGUUGGAUAAGCGUCCAACUUCGGCUCAGGCCAUGAUCUUGCAGUUUGUGGGUUUGAGCCCUGCAUUAGGCUCUGUGCUGACAGCUCAGAGCCUGGAUCCUGCUUGGGAUUCUGCAUCUCUCUCUCUCUCUCUCUGCCCCUCUCCCGCUUGUACUCUGUCUCUCUCUCUCAAAAAUAAACAAACUUUAAAAAAACACACAAAACAAACCUCCCUGUGGUAGACUCACAGCAAAGGGCUCAGCCCUUACCAUCCCCAAAAUAAACAAGAUAACUGAAUUAAACCAAACUAAAAAAGCAGGUUGUGGGAGUCAUGGUUUCUAUAACUAUAGUUAUUACUAUAAUUGUAACUAAAAUAUAGUUAUAUUUGAUUACCCAAAUCUUUUCAACAGUAAUUAAGAAAACACGACAAGAAUACGACAGAAUUAGUUCUUAGUGCCUCUGUGCCCAGUUCUAUCUCCAUAGUUCUUUUUUAAUUUUUUUUAAUCUGAGGGUAGCCCGCAAUUCUAAUUUAUGAUUCCAACUUGUGAAAUGUUCUGCCCCAGUCAUCAGUAUUUCUAAAUAACCGGUCUUCACUGAUUAGGUCCCUCAUUAUUAUAACCAUAUCACCUACAGAACCUCAUUUCAGAUCUAGAAAUAUCAUCACUCUUUUUUAAAGAAAGGGGAAGAAAUGAAAAUUACUAUGCUACUUUUGCUCACAAUUUUAUUACAAUAUCUUAAGAAAAACAAGGUAACUGUCACCAAUAUUUAAGAUUCUUCUAACUUUAUUCAUUCAUUAUGGAUCUAGAAACUAGUAAUUUACAUACUGACUUCAUAUUAGAGCAAUUCAAAUCAUUCUGGCGGUGCAAUUUGGGCCAUAAAAAUUGUAAUCCAACCUUGCUGGUAUUUACAGAACUUGUGUGAUGUUCUAAAAUUGAUCACUUAAAAUCAGGUUCUCUGAUAACCAGUAUCUUUACUGCUUAGUCUAAAAAUCGGUAUCAAAUAGGAGCUCCUGGGUGGCUCAGUUGAUUAAGCAUCCGGCUUCGGCUCAGGUCAGGAUCUUGCGGUUUUUGAGUUCGAGCCCCGCAUCAGGCUCUGUGCUGAUGCUCAGAGCCUGAAGCCUGCUUCAGAUUCUGUGUCUCCCCUUCUCUCUGCCCCUCUCCUGCUCAUGCUCUGUCUCUGUUUUUCAAUAAUAAACAAAAAAAAUAUUUUUUUUAAAUCAGUAUCAAAUAAAAUAAGGGAUACUGAAGAAAGUGAUAGGGACUAAAUACAAAUUUCUUGGUGAAUAUUAACUCUAGACUAAUGGUGUGAGAGUUGUGCCACAUUUCCUGUCAGAGCCAUUAGAUAAAAUGUGCCAUUCAGAUAACAAGUCAGCUGAGACCCCACCAAGUCUAUGGGAUGCCAUGCUCUACAAGAGACACCAAGGCUUUCUCCAACGGCCAGGAAUACAUCCCCUCUUCUUUCUAUUUCAGACCCAGGACUAUUAGUCCUUUUCUCUCAGUGUAACACUCUUCAGAAUGCCAUACAUUCCUCUGGGAGCUCCUGUGCAGGGCUUAGUUCUCUGGCCCCUGGGCCAUCCUCCACUGUCAUCCCUCCAACUUGUGACCUCAUAGGAAUCCAAUGACAGAGCAAUGGCCAAAGCAUACACAAAAGUGAGUCUCAAAGAUGCUAUGGAGUUCUCAAACUGUCAAUGGCAAUUAAUCUUUCCUGUUUCAGGAUAAGAAUAAGCCCUGUAGAGAAAGUGUAAAUACCACAAUUACCAUAUAUUAAACUGAAAGUAAAUCACAGGACUUAUAUUUUAUUGGGGCAGGAAGCCCUCUCUAUGCAGCUCUUUGCCUGUGUGGCUCUUUGGAAAGAUAACUUCAUGUACUCUAUAAGAAAAUUCUAAAUUUUCGUCCUCCCACUACAGACAUUUUCAACACACAAGUCAGAAAGAAACAGCAUAAAAAAGUAACUAAAUCAUCAUGGCAAACAUUUUUUUUUUUGUCUUCAAAGAAAUAAUGUAGCUACUUUUUUCUUAAGGACAAAUCAUUUUACUUUUUCUUUUUAUUUUUUAGAGAAAGUGUGCACACAUAAGUGGGGAGGGUGAGGGGGGGAGGGAGGAGGGAGAAGUGAGGAGAAGGGAGGAGAGAGAAGGGAGAAGAGAGAAGGGAGAAGGGGGGAGAAGGGAGAGGGAAUAUCUUAAGCAGGCUCCACACUCAGCACGGAGCCUGAUCCCAUGACCGUGGGAUCAUGACCUGAGCCGAAAUCAAGAUUCAGACUCUCAACCAACUGAGCCACCGAGGCACCCCAAUGUAGUUAUUUUUUAAAUCACAAAUCUACUGAGGAAGAACCAGUCCUGAACUGAUUUGCAGCACAUUAAAGGAAAUUAUUACAUACCGGAUGACAACAGCCUCUUAAGUAUAAAAAAGGUUAAUAUCUCAAGUCACUAUUCACUUAGUUUUAAACCAAGUAGUAAAUUAUUACCUUGUAUUUAGUUUUUUCAGUAAGAAUGUUUUAAAAAAGCUUUAAAAAGUAGGGGAAGAAGGGGGCCUGGGUGGCUCAGUCGGUUGAGCAUCUGAUUCUUGACUUCGGCUCGGGUCGUGAUCCCAAGGUUGUGGGAUCAAGCCCCACGUGAGGUGCUGAGAGUGGAGCCUGCUUAGGAUUCUCUCUCUCCCUCCUUCUGUCCCUCCCCCCACUCAUGUACCCUCACUUUCUCUCUAAAAUAAUAAAAUGAAAAAAAUUUUUUUUAAAGUUGGGGAAGAGAGGGUCAGAAAUCUAAAAUCAUAUAUAGUCCAUACAAAACAGGUAAAAAUAAGUGGAACCUGAACAAAUUUGUCUCCUUCACAAGACUGUUACAUUGACUUUAAAGUGCUAAUAAGAGAAACAUGGCCAAUCUAGCCUAAAUAUAAAAAGCCCUACACUAAGAACAGGAAAGAAGAUUUGUUUCUCUGCACUACAACUAGUGUUAUGGACAAAUCAAGAUUAUCAUCUGUAUUUCAGGGAUGGGAACAUGUUCAAUAACCUACCUUCUUGACAAGAAGGCCGAUGGGAAAAAAACUAUCAUUUCUGUAUUAGUUUUAAUUUCCUUGGGGGCUGGGGGAACACUCUAAUUCAGUUUAUCACAAUUACAAGCUUUCUACACCAAGAGUAUUUCAGGCUUCUGCUGGUCUUAGCUUCAUCUGCAUUUACGUUCACAGUGAGCUAUUACUAGCAAUAUAUAAAAAUUAAGCCAUUUUCAGAUCUACUGAUAGUUUCCUAAACAUGUCCAAUGCAAGAGUUACCUGGGGGUGAUUACCAAAAACAGGUUUUUCAGACCCCAUACCAGAUCUACUUACAGAAUCUUCAGGGAGAAAUCUAGGAUUCUGAAUUUUUAUCAGCACCCUGGGUAAUUUUGACACCCAGGUCAAGUAUCGGACAUUCCUAUAGCCAGAGCAACUCAUUCCAGGGGAGGACAGUAAAUUAGAAAUUCACAGAUUAGGUCCAUUAGUCACCUGCUUCCUUACUCAGCCUACUUCAGCAUGAAUAUAUUAGCAUAAUGCCCGCUAGCAUUCCUGAAGGCCUGUGUGCUAUAUUCUGUACUAAGUACAAACAAUAAUCUUUCGGGGUGUAUACUAGUUUUAUUCCAGUUCCACAGACAGGGAAACAACUGUCAUUUAUUGGAGUUCACACAGUAUGUGAGUGGCUGCUGCUUCAAAAUAAGAUGCUUGUUGGCAGCAAGCUGCCACCUACAACACUAUGCGAUUCCAGCACCAACCAAGAGAAAAGUAAACACAUGGCAAGAGUUGAAAUGGAAAGUUGAGAUCUUCUGUUGACCAGUGUGGCUUUCUUAAUUUCAAUUCUUUUUCUUGGUUAAAACUAAAACUAAAGAGUAAAAACUCUUUUGCAUACUGGAACAUCACAUAAUUGCUUAAGGAUCCUAAACACAGUGGGGCUGCGGACAUCAUCUGAGAUGCUGCUACUGAUUAACCCCUGAAUAGUCAGUUCAGUGACUGGGUUUUUAUUUUGUUGGGAGGGACAGUAGGAUAACUCAGAUUAACCAUCAGAACAUUUAUCUUAAACUAAAACCACAAGAAUGACAUCUCAUUGAUGCUAACAGUUCAAAUCUCAAAACUAUAAAAUUGGCAAACAAGCAUAAAUUCUGUUAACAUUUUGUUGUGGCACUGUAAGUAUAUUCAAAAUCUGCAAGACGGGUUCCCAUUAUGACAAUUAUAUCAAGACUAGAGAAUAUUAGAAGUUUUCUUUAUUACUCACAUACCUGCAUUGUCAGAUUUAGAAAAAAGGACUUUCAUGAGCCAAUAAAUGGCUUCAUAAGAAAAUGUCAUCGGGAUCUGUUGAACAGUGAUGACCAUGUCUUAUGAUAUACAAAAAUCUACACACAAUUUAUGGCCCAAUACAUACAUAUGUUCUCUAUAUAUUAUAUCCUAGAGAAAUUAAUCACACACAUGUAUCAAGAGACAUACAAGAAAUGUUAAUGGUAGCAUCAUUAGGAACAGCACUCUAAAUGUCCAAAAAGAGAAUGGGUAAGUCAACUGUGAUAUAUUCAUACAGUGAAUACUAAAUAGUAAAAAAUGAAUGAACUAAAGCCAUACUUAUCAACGAGAAUAAAACUUGAAAUGUUGAAAAAAGUUACAAAUGAUUACCUUCUAUGUAACAGCAAUUAAUAUUAAAACAUGCUUGUUUACAGAUAUGUAACAAAUGCAGUAAAAAUAUAAAUACAUACACAGGAAUACCAAUAUCAAAUACCAAAUUCAAGACAGCUUUGGAGUGGAGAGGGAAAAGGAAGGGGAACAGAGUUGAAGCCAUGGGUGUUCCCCCUCACAUAUUUUUGUCACAUUUCAUUUCUUAAGAAUGGUGGUAAAUACCUGAGUGAUAUACUCUUAAAAUUUUGUAUAACUGAGGGGUACCUGGGUGGCUCAGUUAGUUAAGAGGUUAAGUGGUUAAGCUUAAGUGUCCAACUCUUGAUUUCGGCGCAGGUCAUGAUCUCACAGUUUGUGAGUUCGACCCCCAUACUGAGCUCCAUGCUGACAGUGCUCACACUCUCUCUCUCUCUCUCUCUCUGCCUCUCCCCUGCUCACACACUCAGGCUCUCUCUCUCUCUCAAAAUAAACUUAAAAAACAUUUUUUUGUGUUACUGAAAUUCAAAAACACAACCAAAAAUAGAAUUAAGUACACAAAGGCUAGUGAUGUUUUAAACAACAAGCUAACAAUUACUUGAAUCUUAAAAUGUGAUGCUAUCCCCAAUGCUGGUAACUUUAAGGAUACUUUAAGACCCCACAGCCUGCAUUAUUAGGUUGAAAUAUCUGAAACUGCUGGGUUAUAGGUCAAAAAGUCAAAUAUUAACAAUUCCAUGUGGUUUAAACUAAUAUUAAAACUCUCUCUAUAAAAAACAAAAGUUAAAUUUUGAUGUGUUCUCCAAGAAUUUACUAUGCAGUGGUCUACAUUUUAAUGGAAAGACUAAGAAACAAGGAAAUAAAACGGAAAUAGAAUGGACCAUUUGUCAAUGGAUAAAAUAUGAAGAUAAAUUUCCCAGUAUACAGAACAAAUAUAUAACUUAGAAACACAUAUUGCACAAAAUGUGGUCAACCUACUGUCCUUUGAUAUAAAAUAUUACUGCUUAAUUUUUAAAAGUACUUACACAUAAUAAAUCCUUAAAAGAUCCUUGUUGAGCAAAGCAAGUCUUUAUACAUAUAAAAAUUGAAGUCCAGAGGAGAAACACCUUGUCCAAGGUCAAGGUCAAAUAGUUAGCAGUCUAAACCUACUUAAAACUAAAUCUAGGUCCUGCUCCAAAAUUAGUCACUAUAAAUUAAUCAGAAGUUCAACCAGAGAUUUUUAUUUUGUUCCAAUCAAAGAUUAUGAAAGGAAGAAUUAAGGACAAAUGAUCUGUGGAGUUCUGUCUUCUUUUUUAUUUCUUAACAAUUUCAGUAUAACAAGUUCUAAGCCCAUUAUUAUUUUUGCAAAACUCAUUUGCCAUAAACAUAUUUUAGGUAGUGAUUUACAGGAUUAGCUCAUAAAAGCCAAGGCUAUUUAUAAUUUAACUAUAAAACUAUAUUCCUUCUGUAGACUACAAAAGUAGUCUCUCCAUCCCCUCACCCUCUUUUCUCAAACUUAAGAACUAGUGCUUUAAGAAAAAGGUUUAAAUGAGAAAGAAUGCUGAAAAAGUACUGAGGAACACACUGCAGGACAGUUGGAGUUGGAGGGAAGGUUUUUAAAAGUAAGCCAAUGUUUUUUUUUAGUGAAUAAAUAUCACUCUUCAGAAUUAUUAUAGAGCCCAGACAAAUUAUGCAAGACAGGGAUAGAGAUUUUCCUGAGAUACGAGAAGCAGAAACUGAAAGAAAAGGGUUGGAAAAGACAAACAUGAGAACUACUGGAGAGGAAUGGACAGGGACAGGGACACUGGCACCCCUAGAAGCAGAAGAAACAGUGCAGCCCUUCUUAGGAACAGCCCCAGGGGGCAGGUGUAAUCAGCUCCCUCCCCGUACUGCAAGGUUGCUAUACAGAUUAAGUGAGGGAAACCCUUGGAGAAGGGGAGGGUGGGGGAGUAUUAAGGUCAUCUGAGUAGUUAACGUAUGUUAAGCAUUUUAUUUUUUAUUUUUUCAACGUUUAUUUAUUUUUGGGACAGAGAGAGACAGAGCAUGAACGGGGGAGGGGCAGAGAGAGAGGGAGACAUAGAAUCUGAAACAGGCUCCAGGCUCUGAGCCAUCAGCCCAGAGCCCAAUGCGGGGCUCGAACUCACGGACCGCGAGAUCGUGACCUGGCUGAAGUCGGACGCUUAACCGACUGCGCCACCCAGGCGCCCCUAAGCAUUUUUAACCCAAGAAAUAGGUAUACUGAAAUCUACCUGUGCCUACAAUUAAUUCUCAUUUUUGCUUCCUUCAUAUUAGGAAAGAUGAAUGACAGACACGCUACCCACAUCGCCUCUUCAGUUGUAAAGGGAACCCUGGAUAGUCACAAUCAUCGAAAGCCAGAUGUCUCUAGUUGGCCUGCUCUCCUCAGCAAGGUCCACUACAAGGAAAACAGCUGCCAGGACACAUGCACAGUACACCGUUAGAGAAGGGGGAGGGGAGGGAGACCAACCUGCCUCCGCAUUCAGCUCCUCUAGAAGCCCGCUGGUCCUCCAGGUAGCUCCUGUGUCCUGGCCUCCUACAGAAUUACUGUGCUCUUGAACUACCGCAGCCGCCAAUAAAUUGUCCACAUUUACCACUUCUGGGUCAGAGCUGGUGUCAGACAUAUCAUAAUGAGCUACAACUGGAGGUCCAUCUAG
rnacentral:lncRNA from 1 species